AGAAUCAACGCUGGCGGCGUGCCUCAGACAUGCAAGUCGAACGCGAAAGCCCCCUUCGGGGGGCAAGUAGAGUGGCGCACGGGUGAGUAACACGUAGGUAAUCUACCUUCGGAUGGGGAAUAACAACCGGAAACGGUUGCUAAUACCGCAUAAUGCAGCGGCACCUAAUGGUGACAGUUGUUAAAGCGGGGGAUCGAAAGACCUCGCGUCUGAAGAGGAGCCUGCGGCGGAUUAGCUAGUUGGUAAGGUAAUGGCUUACCAAGGCAACGAUCC
rnacentral:rRNA from 1 species